GCACGUCUCUCGCCCCCUCCUCCUCCCGCGCCGUUCGCCGCCCCGCCGUUCCUCGCGCCGCCGUCAGCCGCAGGAGCCGCCUCCCGCAGCCGCCGACGUAGUAACCUCCCCUGCCUCUUCUCCGCCUCGCCCCUGUGCCUCCCAACCGCCAAGCCGCCGCCGUCUCAUCUUCUCGCUGCAUGGCCGGGCGACGUGGCGAGGCGCGCGGAAGCGAGCUCUUCGACCGGCAACACGGCGAGGCGCAUGUCCGAGCGACGUGGCGAGGCGCGCGGGAGCUCUUCGGCCGGCGACACGGCGAGGCGCGCGGCUGCGCGUUGCGGUGAGGCGCGCGGGACGGCCGCUGGCGAAUGUGGCCGAACCUGAGUCCGUGGCGCACGCUGCCACCUCCGUCCUCCUCCGGCCUUAUCUCCUACGGAACAGGCUACUCAUGCAUCGGUACCUAGCCACCAUGGCGUCUCUUUCCCUCUCAAUCCAUUCUUCAUCAGGUUUUGCCCUUCGACCAUAAUCUCCAUCAUCCUGUUGAAAUUGCAUUUUUGGACCAAACAUCCAAUAUCGACGCUGGGUUCGCCGGAGGAAGAAGCGCCGAGUUUGCCGGAGGAAAAAGAACGUCUGUCGAGCCAUGCAUUGUCUCCUGUGGCGGCUACACAAGAGGCCCUUAAGAUGAGUGAUGAACAUCUGUCGAGCCGUCCAAUGUUGUAUAUGGCAGCUACACCAGAGCCGUUGUCUCCUUAGACCUCACCGCCAUCGUCUCCGCCGACUUCGCCGCAAGACAAUCUGCCAUCGCCUCCGCUGACUUUGCCGGAAGACCAUCAACCGUCGCCUAGACCUACUUUGGUUCAGUACUAAGUGGCUUCGCACUGAUGCAAGACGAACAACAUCCGGCUUAGAUGAGUCACUUCAGUGGUGUCUUGAAAACUACAUGAGCAAGACUGGAGUUGAUGGGCAUUCGAGACUAUCCCUUUUUGAUGAAAAUGUUCUUCAGCUGAAUGAAUCUCACAUUGUCAAGCAAAAGAUCAGUGAUCUCGUGCAAGGUCCAAAUGUUACCGGUGAUCAUGGCUCUACAGAAAUGAACAACUGCGACCAGUCAGGUUACGAAAUGUUCAGCCAAGUUGACCAUGUCAGAUGCAGUUUUGCUUGGAGGAAACAUAAUUUGUGCAUUCAACUACAGUUGUUGUUGCGCUCACAGGAGAAAGGACUUAGUUUUGUAUGUCAGGCAUUGAGACAGUCCACUUUCUAAAAGAGGUGGUAUAUUUGUAACCUAACUGUGCCCACGAUCAGCAAGAAAAUCAGUACAUUGAAGUUUUUAUU